rnacentral:rRNA from 1 species
UACGGGGGGGGGCAGCGUUGUUCGGAAUUACUGGGCGUAAAGGGUCUGUAGGUGGCCAACUAAGUCAGACGUGAAAUCCCUCAGCUUAACUGGGGAACUGCGUCUGAUACUGGAUGGCUUGGAUCCGGAAGAGGGAUGCGGAAUUCCAGGUGUAGCGGUGAAAUGCGCAGAUAUCAAGGAGGAACACCUAUUGCAAGGCAGCUCGCUGGGACUAACUGACGCUGAGACGCGAAAGCGUGGGGAGCAAACAGG